UGGGGAAUUUUGGACAAUGGGCGCAAGCCUGAUCCAGCCAUGCCGCGUGCGGGAAGAAGGCCCUCGGGUUGUAAACCGCUUUUGUCAGGGAAGAAAUCUUCUGAGUUAAUACCUCGGGAGGAUGACGGUACCUGAAGAAUAAGCACCGGCUAACUACGUGCCAGCAGCCGCGGUAAUACGUAGGGUGCAAGCGUUAAUCGGAAUUACUGGGCGUAAAGCGUGCGCAGGCGGUUUUGUAAGACAGAGGUGAAAUCCCCGGGCUCAACCUGGGAACUGCCUUUGUGACUGCAAGGCUUGAGUGCGGCAGAGGGGGAUGGAAUUCCGCGUGUAGCAGUGAAAUGCGUAGAUAUGCGGAGGAACACCGAUGGCGAAGGCAAUCCCCUGGGCCUGCACUGACGCUCAUGCACGAAAGCGUGGGGAGCAAACAGGAUUAGAUAGCCCCUGGUAGUCCACGCCCUAAAACGAUGUCAACUGGUUGUCGGGAAGGUUCCUUCUCAGGUAACGUAGCUAACGCGUGAAGUUG
rnacentral:rRNA from 1 species